AUGCCGAACACGUCUGUACUGGCAGAUUCGCUGCAGGCCAUGACAACCCAUGGCGAGGUUUUUAAGAUGAACCUACUCAUGUACCUCAUCUCAACUGUUUUUGUGCCGACCACUUCUCUUCGCCCAAGCAACAAAUGCUUCCCCAUCCUGGCGAAACUAAAAGAUGUGAAGAACAUGAAUUGGUGUAAGUUCAUUGCCGACUUCCUGCAUGAUGCAUUCUCAAGCAAGAUGUACCAGAAGGGUUGUCGACUGCAUUUAAUGCUCAUGUACGUCGACUGUCUUGAUCUGUCCACCGUGGAUUUCACUGGGACUGGAGGCCCGCCGCCUACGCACAAGUUUGUUGUUUCUGCAUGGACUAUCGAUGCUGUCAAGGUUGUGCUUGCUGCAGACAGGGUAACUGAUACCAAAUAUGGAAACUGCAGCUGA
rnacentral:rRNA from 1 species